AUCUACGGUCACACCACCCUGAACGCACCCGAUCUCAUCUGAUCUCGGAAGCAAGCAGGGCCGGGCCUGGUUGGUACUUGGUUGGGAGACCGCCUGGGAAUACCAGGUGCCAUAGGCU
rnacentral:rRNA from 1 species